ACUCCUACGGGAGGCAGCAGUGGGGAAUAUUGCACAAUGGGGGAAACCCUGAUGCAGCCAUGCCGCGUGUGUGAAGAAGGCCUUCGGUUGUAAAGCACUUUCAGUAGGGAGGAAGGUAGUGUAGUUAACACCUGCAUUAUUUGACGUUACCUACAGAAGAAGCACCGGCUAACUCCGUGCCAGCAGCCGCGGUAAUACGGAGGGGUGCGAGCGUUAAUCGGAAUUACUGGGCGUAAAGCGCAUGCAGGCGGCCUGUUAAGUCAGAUGUGAAAGCCCGGGGGCUUAACCUCGGAAUUGCAUUUGAAACUGGCAGGCUAGAGUCUGUAGAGGGGGUAGGAAUUUCAGGUGUAGCGGUGAAAUGCGUAGAGAUCUGAAGGAAUACCAGUGGCGAAGGCGGCCCCCUGGACAGAUACUGACACUCAGAUGCGAAAGCGUGGGGAGCGAAACAGGAUUAGAUACCCUGGUAGACUGUCA
rnacentral:rRNA from 1 species